UACAGAGGUCUCAAGCGUUGUUCGGAUUCAUUGGGCGUAAAGGGUGCGUAGGCGGGUCUUUUAAGUCAGGGGUGAAAUCCUGGAGCUCAACUCCAGAACUGCCUUCGAAACUGACGAUCUUGAGUUCGGGAGAGGUGAGUGGAACUGCGGGGUGUAGAGGUGAAAUUCGUAGAUAUUCGCAAGAACACCAGUGGCGAAGGCGGCUCACUGGCCCGAUACUGACGCUGAGGCACGGAAAGCGUGGGGAGCAAACAGGG
rnacentral:rRNA from 1 species